rnacentral:rRNA from 1 species
AACGAACGCUGGCGGCAUGCCUAACACAUGCAAGUCGAACGAGAUCCUUCGGGGUCUAGUGGCGCACGGGUGCGUAACGCGUGGGAAUCUGCCCUUAGGUUCGGAAUAACAGUUAGAAAUGACUGCUAAUACCGGAUGAUGACGUUAAGUCCAAAGAUUUAUCGCCUGAGGAUGAGCCCGCGUAGGAUUAGCUAGUUGGUGUGGUAAAGGCGCACCAAGGCGACGAUCCUUAGCUGGUCUGAGAGGAUGAUCAGCCACACUGGGACUGAGACACGGCCCAGACUCCUACGGGAGGCAGCAGUGGGGAAUAUUGGACAAUGGGCGCAAGCCUGAUCCAGCAAUGCCGCGUGAGUGAUGAAGGCCUUAGGGUUGUAAACCUCUUUCAGCAGGGAAGAAGCGAAAGUGACGGUACCUGCAGAAGAAGCACCGGCUAACUACGUG